rnacentral:rRNA from 1 species
CACGUAGUUAGCCGUGGCUUAUUCAAGGGGUACCGUCUUCUGCUCUUCCCCCUUAAAAGAAGUUUACAGCCCGAAAGCCUUCUUCCUUCACGCGGCGUUGCUGGGUCAGACUUGCGUCCAUUGCCCAAUAUUCCCCACUGCCGCCUCCCGUAGGAGUCUGGGCCGUAUCUCAGUCCCAAUGUGGCCGGCCAACCUCUCAGUCCGGCUACUGAUCGUCGCCUUGGUGGGCCGUUACCUCACCAACUAGCUAAUCAGACGCGAGGCCAUCUUCCAGCGAUAAUCUUUGACAUGUCUGUGAUGCCACAGUCAUGCGUCAUGCGGUAUUAGCAGUUCGUUCCAACUGUUCGUCCCCUCUGGAAGGCAGGUUCCUCACGCGUUACUCACCACGUCCGCCACUAAGCAACUCAACUCCAUUCGUACCGAAAACUUCUUUACAUGAGCCGUCCCCGUUCGACUUGCAUGUGUUAAGCACGCCGCCAGUCGUUCGUCCUGACGCCAGGAUACAAACU